rnacentral:misc_RNA from 1 species
AAAAAGAGUUAAUGGUGAAUCUACAUCAAUUUUCUCUUCUUUCAUUCUGUUACUGGAGUGGGGUGUGAUAUCAAAAAACGGUGCAGGUUCAUGCAAUGUUAUUUAAUAUUAACUUUUGAGAUUCCAUCAAAUAUUUGUUUCAUCUUGUUACCUUAGAAGAUAAAUUACAUAUGUUAUGGCAGCUCCAUAUAUGAUAUUUAGCGAAGAGGUAUUAAAUCACAUACAUCGUAGGAUUUCUUCACAACAUAUGUUAAAAAGGCUAAUCAUUUAUAAUGGUAUACACAUGCAGAUAUUGUUUCCAUGCCCAGAUGAUAUUAUGGUAUAGGGGUUAGUAAUUGUCUUUGGCAGUUUUAUUUGAAUUUUUGCAUUAUUUUCUUCCAUGUGUAGUAUGAUUGAUAAUUAGAGUAAUU